AGAACGAACGCUGGCGGCAUGCCUAAUACAUGCAAGUCGAACGAACUCUUCGGAGUUAGUGGCGCACGGGUGCGUAACGCGUGGGAAUCUGCCCCUUGGUUCGGAAUAACAGUUGGAAACGACUGCUAAUACCGGAUGAUGACGAAAGUCCAAAGAUUUAUCGCCAAGGGAUGAGCCCGCGUAGGAUUAGCUAGUUGGUGAGGUAAAGGCUCACCAAGGCAACGAUCCUUAGCUGGUCUGAGAGGAUGAUCAGCCACACUGGGACUGAGACACGGCCCAGACUCCUACGGGAGGCAGCAGUAGGGAAUAUUGGACAAUGGGCGAAAGCCUGAUCCAGCAAUGCCGCGUGAGUGAUGAAGGCCUUAGGUUGUAAAGCUCUUUACCCGAGAUGAUAAUGAACAGUAUCGGAGAAUAAGCCCCGGAUAACUCCGCGCCAGCAGCCGAC
rnacentral:rRNA from 1 species